CCUACGGGUGGCAGCAGUGAGGAAUAUUGGUCAAUGGCCGGAAGGCUGAACCAGCCAUGCCGCGUGAAGGUCAGUGCCCUAUGGGCGUUAAACUUCUUUUGUGCGGGAGCAAUAAUGGUCACGUGUGGCCAGACGAGAGUACCGUACGAAUAAGCAUCGGCUAACUCCGUGCCAGCAGCCGCGGUAAUACGGGGGAUGCAAGCGUUAUCCGGAUUUAUUGGGUUUAAAGGGUGCGUAGGCUGGGAGGUAAGUCAGCGGUGAAAUGCCCCCGCUCAACGGGGUGAAGUGCCAUUGAUACUGGCUGGCUGGAAUGCGGAUGCCGUGGGAGGAAUGUGUGGUGUAGCGGUGAAAUGCAUAGAUAUCACACAGAACACCGAUUGCGAAGGCAUCUCACGAAUCCGCGAUUGACGCUGAUGCACGAAAGCGUGGGUAUCAAACAGGAUUAGAUACCCGUGUAGUC
rnacentral:rRNA from 1 species